UACGACUGAUUAAAUACUUCAUAAGAAAGACAUAACUACGAAUCAUUCUUGUGUGUUUUUAUAAGUUUACAACAAUCAGAAUAUACGAAGAAUUUACAUAACGCAUCUGUCGUAUGGGUGUGAAUCUGCGUCAUAAAAGCGCUAGUCAGACGAUGUAAACACGAGUAGCUGGUAUUCCCGAUGAUGGCGAUCUUUUGAUGAUUUAUCAGAGUAAUUUAAAAAGUGUCACACUUAUUUGAAAAAAAAAGGCUUGAAGAAAAUCUGGUACCUGCUUUGUUUUGGGAUUUACA